rnacentral:misc_RNA from 1 species
AAAGUAAUAUGCUAUUCUUCUCGAAUAUACAUUUUAACCCAUUCCUGAGUACCGUUACCCGUUGCUUCCGCGAGGCAGUGAUCCGGUCACUCAGCCGCUGCUGAAGGCAUUCGAUCUUGGGGAGUCACUUGCGGAAAGGUAUACAUAAACUCUUGCAAUUACCAUGUCAUCUGUCUGAAUCUGUUUAUAACAAAUAGUUA